GACGAACCGUACAAACGUUAUUCGGAAUCACUGGGCUUAAAGGGUGCGUAGGCGGCGGCGCAAGUUGGGUGUGAAAUCCCUCGGCUCAACCGAGGAACUGCGCUCAAAACUGCGUCGCUUGAGGGAGAUAGAGGUGAGUGGAACUUAGGGUGGAGCGGUGAAAUGCGUUGAUAUCCUAAGGAACACCAGUGGCGAAAGCGACUCACUGAGUCUCCACUGACGCUGAGGCACGAAAGCUAGGGUAGCGAACGGG
rnacentral:rRNA from 1 species